rnacentral:tRNA from 1 species
GGCUUGAUAGCUCAGUUGGUAGAGCACUGCACCAGUAUCGCAGAAGUCAUGGGUUCAAAUCCCAUUCAGGCCU